rnacentral:rRNA from 1 species
CUACGGGGUGCUGCAGUGAGGAGUAUUGCACAAUGGGGGGAACCCUGAUGCAGCAACGCCGCGUGGAGGAUGACGCAUUUCGGUGUGUAAACUCCUUUUAUAUGUCAAGAAAAUGACGGUAGCAUAUGAAUAAGCACCGGCUAACUCCGUGCCAGCAGCCGUGGUAAUACGGAGGGUGCAAGCGUUACUCGGAAUCACUGGGCGUAAAGGACGCGUAGGCGGGUUGGAAAGUCAGGUGUGAAAUCCUACAGCUUAACUGUAGAACUGCACUUGAAACUUCUAGUCUAGAGUAUGGGAGGGGGAGAUGGAAUUAGUGGUGUAGGGGUAAAAUCCGUAGAUAUCACUAGGAAUACCUAAAGCGAAGGCGAUCUCCUGGAACAUUACUGACGCUAAGGCGUGAAAGCGUGGGGAGCAAACAGGAUUAGAUACCCCUGUAGUC